CCUGGAUGCAGUUUGCCUAUGUGAAAGAUCAGUAGAACUUAAAAAUGAUCACAGUGAAUAACUUACAGUAGAAAUUGAAAAAAUGAUAAAUGAGUUUAGUGUACUACCAAAGGAACUAUCUGAAACAAAAGAAAUUAGGUCAUCACAGCUAGAGAGCCAACAAGUUGAAUGGGAACAAAAACUCAGCAAUUUUUUACUUUAAAACAAGAAGAAGAGAAGAAAUGCUGAUAUGUUAUAUGAAAAAACUAGGGAAGAUUUAGGCAGAAAAGAAGAGGAAUAUAAGAAAGAAAUCGAAGUGAAACAACAACUUGAACUCAGUCCGAAGAUAUGUUGCAUGAAAAUUGCAUGUUGAAGGGAGAAAUUGUCACUCUAAGACUGGAAACGGACACAAUAAAAACCCAGGAAACAGUAACAAAAACAGUAUCUGACUGUAAUGGAGAGCUGAAUGUUUUGACAGGUGAGAGCAGGUGAGAGAUUAUUGCUCAGUUCUGAACUGAAGAAAGAAAAAGAAAACACGGAAAGACUGGAAACAGAAGUUGAAUCCUAUGGUUAUACACUGGCUGCUGCUAUAUGUGAUCUUGAUCAAGGCAAGAUAUCAAGGAAACACCUAGAAUUUGCUCUCCAGAGUGCAAGAGAUGCUUGUUUACAAGAAAAAAUAAAUUUUGACAUGUCUAACCUAAAAAGUAACAAUGAAAUUCUUUCUCAACAACUUUCUGAAGCUCAAAGUAAAUUCAGUAACCUAACAAUUUAGUUCCAUAACACAAGAGAUGCUCUCAGAGAUAUAACUUUGGUUUCAGAACGUCUACAAAGAGAUCUACGCCAAACACGAUGUCAGAUGAAGGACACUGAACAAAUGUAUGAAAAUGAGCAAGAUAAAGUGAGUAAAUGCACUGCAAAGCAGGAAGCCAUGGAAGAGAGAUUAUCCCAGCUACAAAAUGAAAAUAUGCUGCUUCAACAGCAACUAGAUGAGGAUCACAAGAUGCAGAUACGGAAGAAAAGAUAAUUAAUACUCAAGACCAAUUUCUUGGGAAUGAAAAGCAACGUUGUUCACUAGAAGAUAAAUAUAAGGAGUUAUUAAAUGAGUGUGAUCAUUUAAAAGAAAUACUAUAUCAAUAUGAAGAAGAGAAAGCAGAAAGAGAACUAAGUAAGAAACUCUUACAAAUGACAGAAAAGAAGCUCAAUGAAUGUGAAAAUGGCAAGUUUAGUUUUUAUGGAGAUGUAAAGACCAAUCAAUUUGAUGUAGAUAUUCAGAUUAAUAAUCUAAAAUAUAUCUAAAUCUGGAUACAGAGAAUAAAUUUUUUCAACAGGAGUUAUUAUCUAUGAAAACAAUACAAAAAAUGUGAAAAACUACAGAAGAAAAAACCAUGUUUGAACAAGAAGUAAUAGACCUCAAAAGUCAUGUAGACAUAAGUAUGGUAGAAUGUGGUCAAGUCAAACAAUAUAAACAGGAGAUUGGAGAAAGAGCAAGACAGCGUAUAGAAGAAUUACAAGAAGUCAAUUUUUAAAAAUGUAGCUGUUUAAUUUGCUUUAGACAGAAGCAGCAUCUAAAGAACAUUUAGAGCAGUUAAGAUGGCAUGAUAUUACUUCAAUAAAUAAGAUGGAACUCAAAAUUAAAGCUCUGGAAGCUGAGCAGUCCCAAAUGUAAAUUGCUCAAGAAAACUUUAGUGAUAGCGAAUUAGAAAAACAGAAGCAGCUAUAUCUAGAAGAAUU
rnacentral:lncRNA from 10 species